rnacentral:lncRNA from 1 species
CGCCGUCCCUCAGGAAAAGGGGCGGAGUGUCUGCAGCUGCAGGAGCACGGCCUGGGGGUCCGCGUAGGGUCAAGACGAAAGGCGGUUUGCAGGACCGCGCCUGGGCGCAGAUCCUCUGUCCGUCCGAGGUGGUGGCAGCCCCCGGGCCCGCACACAGCGUGCUGUGCCCCACUCGCGCGCUCUGAAGCUCCCGCUGCCUCUGCCUCUGCUGGCGUGUGCACGCGCGCCUGCGGGCAGCGUUACCCUUCCUCCGGGCCAGCAUCCCCCGGCCUGCGUCAGUGACAGCGUCGGCACAGGACGCUAAAGAAAAGGUUCGUUUGAAAUCAGUGAAAUCAUUGACAAUUGAUAAUUUUGAUAAUCGAUAAUAAUUUGAUAAAUUGAUAAUUUUCUCCUGGCAUUCAUUUCGCUUAUAAUUAUACCUCCCCUUCGGUUAAACAUUUUAGUAACUCAGAUGCCACGUAAGACACCAUAGGAAGCCUGGCGUGGUGGCAGACGCCUGUAAUCCCAGUACCUGGGAGGCUGAGGCAGGCAUAUCGCUGUGAGUUUGAGCCUUCCUGGGCUACAUGGUGAGUUGAAACCCAGCGUGAACUACAAGACCCUGUCUUGAAAAAUGAAAACAAAAGACACCAUGGAAACGAACAGGAGCUCUUUGGGCCUGGCUCAUUAUUUGCAGGCAGAGUGGGCCUGUCAGCGCACCCAGUGCGGUGAUUUCAGUGGUUGAUGGAGCCCUCGCCUUGGGCUGAGGACAGCGGCGGACACCAGCAAGCGCAGGACAGCAGGCGUGCGAGGUGAACCUCCUGGGACAGGCCUCCCCGCUGCUCCUGCCUGGAAUCUGCUUCCUUGUGUUCCCUCUGCUUUUUUUUUGUACUCCCUCUUCUGCC